GGAGUUUGGACCGUGUCUCAGUUCCAAUGUGGCCGAUCACCCUCUCAGGUCGGCUACUGAUCGUCGCCUUGGUGGGCCAUUACCCCGCCAACUAGCUAAUCAGACGCGAACUCACCCCGAACCGGAUUUCUCCUUUGACCCCUUCGCCAUGUGACGUUGUGGUCUCAUGCGGUAUUAGCACCUGUUUCCAAGUGUUAUCCCCCUGUCCGGGACAGAUUGUUCACGCGUUACUCACCCGUCCGCCGCUAGAAUUACUCGGUUUCCUGCCGAAGCUCUCCACUAAGUAAUCCCCGCUCGACUUGCAUGUGUUAGGCACGCCGCCAGCGUUGUCCUCGAGCCAUGAUCAAACUCUA
rnacentral:rRNA from 1 species